rnacentral:lncRNA from 1 species
GUUUAUUACAGGAUAUUGAGUAUAGUUCCCUGUGCUAUACAGUAGGACUCUGUUGUGUAUCCAAGUUAUAUAUUAUCUCAAACUCCUAAUAUCUCCCUCCCUCAUCCCCUUUCCCCUUUGGUUACUGUAAGUUUGUUUCCUGUCUGUGAAUUUGUUUCCGUUUGGUAAACAGGUUCAUUUGUGUCAUAUUUUAGAUCCUACAAAUAAGUGAUAUCAAUAGUAUUUGUCUUUCUCUUUCUGACUUACUCCACUUAGUAUGAUAAUGUCUAGGUCCACUCAUGUUGCUGCAAAUAUAUUAUGUGAUAUAUACAGAUAUAUUACAUCUUCUCUGUCCAGUCCCCUGUUGGUGGACAUGGAGGUUGCUUCCAUGUCUUGGCUAUUGUAAAUAGUGCUGCAGUGAACAUUGAGAUGCAUGUAUCAUUUCAAAUUAGCAUUUUCUGGAUAUAUGUCCAGGAGUGGGAUUGCUAGAUCCUAUGGCAAUGUUAUUUUUAGUGUUUUAAGGAACCCUCCGUCCUGUUCUCUAUAGUGGCCACACCAAUUUACAUUCCUGCCAGCAGUGUAGAAGGAUUGCCUUUUCUCCCCACCCUCUCCAGCAUUUGUUUGUAGACUUUUUAAUGACGUUAAGGAGAAUUUCUUUGGCCUGACCUCUCCAUCUUUCCCCUCCUCUAUCGCUGCACCUCUCAAGGCACUCAAGGCCCAACUUACCCCAGACUUCCUCCCUCCCGGAAGGGUCUCCUGACCUCUCCAGCCUCAUAGCCUGCUCGCACUGACCUCCAACCAGCCUGCUGCAAAGCUCUAGGCUCACAUUUAGGGCGUUCCUGCCUCCUGUCAGUCACCGAGGCUGGUAAGUGCUCCCACAUGCCCACUCCCUGAAAGACAGACGAGGCAACCCCAUUGAAAGGGAAGACACAGGCUCAGCGAGGUUCCGUAACGUCCCCCAGAUUACCUAGCUGGUUAGUGAAAUAACCGAGACUUAAAUUCAAGACUGACAACCGACCUCAAAACCUUUGCUCUAAACCAGGAGCCAGCAAACUAUACGGGCCUGAAGGCCAAAUUCUGCCACUAUCUGUUUUUCUACAGCUUGAGAGCUAAAAAUGGUUUUCACAUGACCGGGGGCGGGGGGGGGAUCAAAAGAAACAUAAGAUUUUGGCACAUGUGAAAAUCACAGGAAACUAACAUUUCAGUGUCCAUUAAUAACGUUUUAUUGGACAUGGUGGUGUGGUGGUUGUUUUCAUCAUGGCAUGCAGCAGCUUGAUGUGGGAUCUCAGUUCCCAGACCAGGGAUUGAACCCAGGCUGCAGCGGUAAAAGCACUGAGUCCUAACCACUAGACCACCAGGGAACUCCCUUAAUAAAGUUUUCUUGGCGCACACCAACACCCAUUCAUUUAGAUCUCUUUGAUGGCUUUUUCGUGAACUACAGUGGCAGAGCUGAGUCGUAGUGACAGGGACCAGCCUACAAGGGUUCCCAUUUGGCCCUUCACAGAAGACCUUUGCCGACCCCUGCUCUGAAAGGCACCAUUGAUGAGCCACAGCUCCACGGAGUUCUGAACACCCUGCCUGCCUUGACAGGCUGCUGUCUUUCUCUGGGUGCUGAGCCCACUGUAGGAUCUCAGAGGGAAAACAAAAUAGAUUUUAGCCCCCUUUGGACUUCCAGGUACUAAAGAUGUGCACCAGAAGUUCCCGUCGUGGCACAGCGGAAACGACCCCGACUAGGAACCGUGAGGUUGUGGGUUCGAUCCCUGGCCUUGUUCAAAAGGGCUUUGUUGUUCACUUUUUAGAAAUGAUAUGCUAUAGAGGGUUUAGCAAGCAGAGAGUUAUGUUGUCCAUAACUUAUUAUGGCUAAUGUUACUUCUACACUAAUCUUGCCUUUUUUUGUUGAGGGGAAGUGGGAGAGGAGAGGCCGAGAGGAGGAGAAAUACUCGAAGUGCUACAGCAGUAGUUUUCAGACUUCGCCUCCCGGGUCAGGGUUGGGGCCUGAGAAUCUGCAUUUCGCACAGAGUCCCAGGCGGCACCCCUCUGAGGACUCCUCCACUCUGUCAAAAGGCCUAGAAGACCGCUGGGCAGCUAUAGGAGGUGGGGCCAGGGCUUCCUUGCCUGAGGGGGGGGCAGGGGGAGCACGGAAAGUUCUUACUGUCCCAGCAGACCCGUUUCUUGAAGGAAGGGACAGGCUCCCAGGACCCCAGGGAUCAGCCUGGUUGGCCCCAGACCCAGAAUGUAUGGGGGUGAAGGCCUAGUCAAAGGCUCCCCCCACCCCACCCCCCUCAGAGAGGGGACUGAGGCUGGAAAGGCGGGGAAGGGCUGGGUUUCCCCAGAUCAAAGCUGGUUCCCCAGCCUUUGAUUCGCAAACAAGCAGACUCUUUAGAGGCUGGCCCGGAGUUUGGGGCAGGCUGGCCUUGGGGCCUGGGGUGAGUGGUCAGAGGCCCCCAGCCCGCUCUCUUUUUGCAUAACAGCUUGGCUGUCUAACAAAAGGACAGUCCUUGAAAGGCCGUAUGGGGCUGUUAAAAGCUUCCGGCAAUGGUUUAAUUGGGGGCGAUUAAAGUGUCCACCCCAGGAAGGCCUGCCCUUCAAAGGCCAACCAGGCCUGGCUCCCCUGCCCUCAGCACCUCUCCCCUCGGCCACGCCCCCGGUGGUAGCCCUGCCCCCAGCCUCUCCCCUCCGCCCCCUCAGCUACCCUGUGGCUCCCUGCCGACUGAGGAAGUCAGGGACAGGGACCCUUUGGCCAGCCUGUCUGGGGGGAUUCCGUCCUGGCCCCUGGACCAUCAGGACCAUUUGUUCGCACAGUUUGGUCUCGUGGCUGAGUCAGUGUGGGAGGUGGGGAAGGCUGAGUCGGAGACAGAAAGGGCCCCAGACUGGUCCACCCGGCUCACUCUGGCUGCCUCAGGACACCUAGCCUGCCUGGUCUCUGGCCCCUCCUUGAGCUCCCUUACCAGCCCCUCUCCCCAAGGCCCUGGCCCAUCUGCAACUUCAUGGUCACCGUUGGGGGACCCACACAUUAAUCUUCCAGACAUGACCUGAGAGGUGCUGGGGACUCAGAGGUGACCAGACAGGAACCAUGACUCAUAAAGGUGCCGGAUAAGUGAACAGGCAGAAGCAACAGGGCGCAAUAUAGGUAAAAUGAGGUGAGCUAUAAGCAGGGCCCCUGCCUCUGGUGGGGCUCAGGGAGCAGAGGGGCAAGCAACAUGACCUUCUGGAAGCAACAGAGCCUACAGUGAGAACAGGGCCACUCAGUCUGGCUCAUUUGCCAACCAUGAUGGGAAGAGCUACACCACAGCUGGUUUCACUAAAAGACCUGACCCACCCAACCAGUUGGAGCAUCCUUGGAAGGGGAAGUGGGUAGAGGUUCCAUCAAGUCUCGAAAUCAUUGUUCUGUGGGUAUCUGGCUCAGACAACUCCCCAGAG